CACCCUACGGGACGCAGCAGUAGGGAAUCUUCCACAAUGGACGAAAGUCUGAUGGAGCAACGCCGCGUGAGUGAAGAAGGGUUUCGGCUCGUAAAGCUCUGUUGGUAGUGAAGAAAGAUAGAGGUAGUAACUGGCCUUUAUUUGACGGUAAUUACUUAGAAAGUCACGGCUAACUACGUGCCAGCAGCCGCGGUAAUACGUAGGUGGCAAGCGUUGUCCGGAUUUAUUGGGGGUAAAGCGAGUGCAGGCGG
rnacentral:rRNA from 1 species